rnacentral:rRNA from 1 species
GUGACAGCCGCCGCGGUAAUACGGAGGGUGCAAGCGUUGUUCGGAAUCACUGGGCGUAAAGCGCGUGUAGGCGGUCCACUAAGUCUGGUGUGAAAGCCCGGGGCUCACCCCCGGAAGUGCACUGGAAACUGGCGGACUCGAGUCCCGGAGAGGAGAGUAGAAUUCCUGGUGUAGCGGUGAAAUGCGUAGAUAUCAGGAGGAAUACCGGUGGCGAAGGCGGCUCUCUGGACGGUGACUGACGCUGAGACGCGAAAGCGUGGGGAGCAAACAGGAUUAGAUACCCCGGUAGUCC